CACCGCGGUUAUACGAGAGGCCCAAGUUGACAGACAGCGGCGUAAAGAGUGGUUAAGGAAAACAGAAAACUAAAGCCGAACGCUUACAGGACUGUUAUAAGUGUCUGAAAGUAAGAAGCCCAUUCACGAAAGUGGCUUUACAUUACCUGAACCCACGAGAGCUAAGAAA
rnacentral:rRNA from 1 species